AGUUAUUUAGCUUAUUUAAUAAAGUAUAUAUUUUGAAAAUAUAAGAAAGAAAAUUUUUAAUAACUU
rnacentral:tRNA from 1 species